CUUGAUGCUUGCAUACUUUUUCUUCUCCCAGGUGGACAGGACGCUCAUUUUCCAUUGCCGCGGCGAUGGGAAGGAAGGCUGAAACCAGGAGUGCCGGCGGGAGAGCUGCAGGGCAGGACGCAAUGCCAUCCAGUGCCUGGGGUCUCGUUAUUAGGAAAUGUGAAAAGGUUACUGAAACUGCAUCCAGUGAAGGCAUUAUUGUUUUGAAAGACCUCGAAAUGAAGGAGCAGCAAAUCCUGCCAAUCAUCCAACAGCAAGAAUUGUCCCCUAAGAGAGCUGAUUUACACAGCAGGACAUCAAAUAGAUGAUAAAGGCACAGAAUAUUGGUGAGCAAUUUAAAGGAAUACUAUCAUUUUUACCACUGUACAUUUGAAUAUCACUUUUAUUUUUUUCUAAGUAUUUUUGCCCAUAUUAUCUCAUUGUAUAUCCUGCCGUAUAUUUAAAACUUGCCAUUUUUCAAGUGGCCAUUUUCACAGCUAGAUGGGAUUUUUAAAAAAUCUAUGUAUAUUUGAAGCUGGUUAAAAACAACUGUAAUCUGAGAAAGACCUCUUAUUGACUGGAGCUAGAAAAGGAAGAGGGGAUUUUAUUAUUCUCAAAACACCUGGAAAUUUGAUGUUGCUUAUUCUCAGUCUAUAUCACAAUGCUGAAGUCUAGCACUUGCCUUGAGCAGUCUGUAUAUAAGAAAUAAUUUUUAGUCAUGAAAAGAAUGGGCUUCCCUGGUGGCUCAGACAGUAAAGAAUCUUCUUGCAAAGUGGGAGACGUGGGUUCAGUCCCUGGGGUGUGAAGAUCCCCUGGAGGAGGGCAUGGUGACCCUCUCCAGUACUCUUGCCUGGAAAAUCCCCGUGGACAGAGGAGCCUGGUGGGCUAUAGUCCAUCGGGUUGCAAAGAGUUGGGUACGACUGAGCAACUUACACUUUCACUUUUACCCUCACCAAGUUCUGUGUCACACCCAUCCACACAAUAUAUCACGUUAGCUCCCUUUUUCUUUUUUUCACAGAAGGGCAUGUCCAGACACGGUGUGAAAGGCUGGGAAGAGGGGUGUCAUUACAGAUUAGCUGGUUGGAACACCUACCAGUUAGGGCAGGUUUGUGAGUAUGAGCCUCAGGCACACUGGAUCUGUUCUCUGUUCCACGGCUCCCAACUACAUCCCCAGCAUCUACCUACGCAAACUCAACCAAGAUUAGAAUGACUAUAUACCUUUUUGUGGGUGGAUCAGCCCUUGCAUAUCACCAGACUUGAGAAGCAGUUGCCUAAUCAUCUAUCAUCUCCAUAAAUAAAAGACAUGUAUCCAAAGAAUGAACAAAUAAUUUUUGUUGUUACACAAAACUUGCCAAAUUGGAAAUUAUCUCCCAGUUCUAAGCAUCUCUCAACAAAAUGAUACAUGCAAUUCAGGGUAUACUAGGAGUAAGAAGGAAAACAGAAGAAAGGGGAAUAUUUCAGAAAAUUUUUCAAAAGGAGAAAGCUGAGAAAGAGUAGUAAUUGGAAUUUUUCAUGGAGGUUAUUUUUCUGUUUAUGAAAGUGAAAGUGUCAGUCGCUCAAUUGUAUCUAACUCUUUGCGACCCCAUGGACUGUAGCCUGCCGGGAUCCUCUGUCCAUGGGAUUUCCCAGGCAAGAAUACUGGAGUGGGUAGCCAUGCCCUUCUCCAGGGGAUCUUCCCCACCCAGGGAUCAAACCCAGGUCUCCCACAUUUCAGGCAGAUUCUUUACCAUUUGAGCCACUUAUAAUUAUUUAUAAUUUUCCUAAUAUUCAUAACACUAGGUUUAGAUUUGGAACUCCCCACCACAAGUGUCUCUUGAUCUUUCUCCAGAGCUUCAUAUGCAGUAUUUGAUUAUACAACAAUCAAAAUUUAGAGCACAUUAGAACAAAGUACAAAAGUAAAACAGCAACACUAACUGGAAAUGCCUGAUACAAUACAGGUACUUCGUUCUUCCCUUGUACUUUUCAGUCUUUUCUAAGAAGAACUCCAUAAACAUAAACUACCGUCACAACUAGGGAAGAAACCAUUUAAACCACCUGCUAGUUAAGACAAUGCCAUUUUAUAUGUUCCAGAGUCUAAUAUGGGUGUUACUUCUCCUCUCCUUCUUCUGCUCUUCAGACAGCCAGGUUUGGAGAUGAGAUGCUCUACUUUGACGGCAGGCCAACAUCAAAUUAAACUACUCCUGAAUUUCACAAGUCUAACAUUUCAAAUGAGAGAUUUCAGCUCACUCCACACAGUUUAACACACUUGUGCUCGAUGAAGCAUUGCUGAUAGAAUAAUUAGCUUGAACAAUGUGUGAGAGGGUGAAGACAGCUUUUUAGGCAGUCGCUCACACCGUUCUUCCCUCUGUGCCCU
ensembl:lincRNA